rnacentral:rRNA from 1 species
CCUACGGGAGGCUGCAGUAGGGAAUCUUCGGCAAUGGACGAAAGUCUGACGCAGCAACGCCGCGUGAGUGAAGAAGGAUUUCGUAUCGUAAAACUCUGUUAUUAGAGAAGAACAAGAACGUUCGUAACUGAACGUCCCCUGACGGUAUCUAACCAGCAGGCCACGGAUAACUACGUGCCAGCGGCCGCGGUAAUACGUAGGUGGCAAGCGUUGUCCGGGUUUACUGGGCGUAAAGGGAGCGCAGGCGGUAGCUUAAGUCUGGUGUGAAAGCCGGGGGCUCAACCGGCGGAGGGCAUUGGAAACUGGGCGGCUGGAGUGCAGGAGAGGUGAGUGGAAUUCCAAGUGUAGCGGUGAAAUGCGUAGAUAUAAGGAGGAACACCAGUGGCGAAGGCGGCUUACUGGACUGUAACUGACGUUGAGGCUCGAAAGCGUGGGGAGCAAACAGGAUUAGAUACCCCUGUAGUC